CAGGCGUCGAGCGGCGGACGGGUGAGUAAUACUUAGGAAUCUACCUAGUAGUGGGGGAUAGCACGGGGAAACUCGUAUUAAUACCGCAUACGACCUACGGGAGAAAGGGGGCAGUUUACUGCUCUCGCUAUUAGAUGAGCCUAAGUCGGAUUAUCUAGAUGGUGGGGUAAAGGCCUACCAUGGCGACAAUCUGUAGCUGGUCUGAGAGGAUGAUCAUCCACCCCGGGACUGAGACACGGCCCGGACUCCUACGGGAGGCAGCAGUGGGGAAUAUUGGACAAUGGGGGAAACCCUGAUCCAGCCAUGCCGCGUGUGUGAAGAAGGCCUUUUGGUUGUAAAGCACUUUAAGCAGUGAAGAAGACUCCGUGGUUAAUACCCACGGACGAUGACAUUAGCUGCAGAAUAAGCACCGGCUAACUCUGUGCCAGCAGCCGCGGUAAUACAGAGGGUGCAAGCGUUAAUCGGAAUUACUGGGCGUAAAGGGAGCGUAGGUGGCUCUAUAAGUCAGAUGUGAAAUCCCCGGGCUCAACCUGGGAACUGCAUCUGAAACUGUACAGCUAGAGUAUGUGAGAGGAAGGUAGAAUUCCAGGUGUAGCGGUGAAAUGCGUAGAGAUCUGGAGGAAUACCGAUGGCGAAGGCAGCCUUCUGGCAUAAUACUGACACUGAGGCUCGAAAGCGUGGGUAGCAAACAGGAUUAGAUACCCUGGUAGUCCACGCCGUAAACGAUGUCUAAUAGUCGUUGGGUCCCUUGAGGACUUAGUGACGCAGCUAACGCAAUAAGUAGACCGCUUGGGGAGUACGGCCGCAAGGUUAAAACUCAAAUGAAUUGACGGGGGCCCGCACAAGCGGUGGAGCAUGUGGUUUAAUUCGAUGCAACGCGAAGAACCUUACCUGGUCUUGACAUAUCUAGAAUCCUGCAGAGAUGCGGGAGUGCCUUCGGGAAUUAGAAUACAGGUGCUGCAUGGCUGUCGUCAGCUCGUGUCGUGAGAUGUUGGGUUAAGUCCCGCAACGAGCGCAACCCUUGUCCUUAGUUACCAGCGGGUUAAGCCGGGAACUCUAAGGAUACUGCCAGUGACAAACUGGAGGAAGGCGGGGACGACGUCAAGUCAUCAUGGCCCUUACGACCAGGGCUACACACGUGCUACAAUGGUAGGUACAGAGGGCAGCUACACAGCGAUGUGAUGCGAAUCUCAAAAAGCCUAUAGUAGUCCAGAUUGGAGUUUGCAACUCGACUCCAUGAAGUAGGAAUCGCUAGUAAUCGCGGAUCAGAA
rnacentral:rRNA from 1 species